rnacentral:rRNA from 1 species
CCUACGGGAUGCACCAGUGGGGAGUAUUGCACAAUGGGGGAAACCCUGAUGCAGCCAUGCCGCGUGUGUGAAGAAGGCCUUCGGGUUGUAAAGCACUUUCAGUAGGGAGGAAGGUAGUGUAGUUAACACCUGCAUUACUUGACGUUACCUACAGAAGAAGCACCGGCUAACUCCGUGCCAGCAGCCGCGGUAAUACGGAGGGUGCGAGCGUUAAUCGGAAUUACUGGGCGUAAAGCGCAUGCAGGCGGCCUGUUAAGUCAGAUGUGAAAGCCCGGGGCUUAACCUCGGAGUUGCAUUUGAAACUGGCAGGCUAGAGUCUUGUAGAGGGGGGUAGAAUUUCAGGUGUAGCGGUGAAAUGCGUAGAGAUCUGAAGGAAUACCAGUGGCGAAGGCGGCCCCCUGGACAAAGACUGACGCUCAGGUGCGAAAGCGUGGGGAGCAAACAGGAUUAGAUACCCCUGUAGUC